UACUGUUCAGCACCUUUAUACCAGGGCAAAUUUCACCGUAUGAAAAUGUACCCGACAAUAAACCCGACUCUGAUGUUUGGUAGUCAAUGGCGAUAGCCUGCAACAUCACACAUCAGGCUUGUACAACACACGGUUUGACUCAACCAUGUCAUCCACCACGUUGCUCUUGGAGAUCUCUUUGGAGCGGAACUGCUCCGGAGCAGACAGGUUCUUGCCAUCGUUGUUGCCGAGGUGAUUGUAGCUGACAAUGGAGGCCGGCUGUCGAGGAGGAGAGGAACUCAAUGUUUAGAAUUAAAGGCACUGGAAGUUUGUAGUUUUCAUCUUAUUUUUUAUAUCGUGUGGUAGGAUGAUUACAAUGUUACUCUUCCUGAGUUUUCCUUAAAUAAUCCAUGUGUCUACGUAUAGAGGUUGUUGUAUGCUGUACAGAUUGUAAAGUCUUUUGAGCCUGUAUAAAUAAAAGUGACUUGACUUAAGUUGUUAAAUAUAUUCCCACUUGAAGAGUUCAAGUGUAACACAGUA